CUCUGUUGUUAGGGAAGAACAAGUACCGGAGUAACUGCCGGUACCUUGACGGUACCUAACCAGAAAGCCACGGCUAACUACGUGCCAGCAGCCGCGGUAAUACGUAGGUGGCAAGCGUUGUCCGGAAUUAUUGGGCGUAAAGCGCGCGCAGGCGGUCCUUUAAGUCUGAUGUGAAAGCCCACGGCUCAACCGUGGAGGGUCAUUGGAAACUGGGGGACUUGAGUGCAGAAGAGGAGAGUGGAAUUCCACGUGUAGCGGUGAAAUGCGUAGAGAUGUGGAGGAACACCAGUGGCGAAGGCGACUCUCUGGUCUGUAACUGACGCUGAGGCGCGAAAGCGUGGGGAGCGAACAGGAUUAGAUACCCUGGUAGUCCACGCCGUAAACGAUGAGUGCUAAGUGUUAGAGGGUUUCCGCCCUUUAGUGCUGCAGCAAACGCAUUAAGCACUCCGCCUGGGGAGUACGGCCGCAAGGCUGAAACUCAAAGGAAUUGACGGGGGCCCGCACAAGCGGUGGAGCAUGUGGUUUAAUUCGAAG
rnacentral:rRNA from 2 species